GUGCCGAGCCGCGGUAAUACCGGCAGCCCGAGUGAUGACCGAUCUUAUUGGGCCUAAAGCGUCCGUAGCUGGCCGGACAAGUCCGUUGGGAAAUCCACCCGCUUAACGGGUGGGCGUCCAGCGGAAACUGUCCGGCUUGGAGCCGGAAGAUCCGAGGGGUACGUCCGGGGUAGGAGUGAAAUCCCGUAAUCCUGGACGGACCGCCGGUGGCGAAAGCGCCUCGGAAGGACGGACCCGACGGUGAGGGACGAAAGCCAGGGUCUCCAACCGGAUUAGAAACCCCGGUAGUCC
rnacentral:rRNA from 1 species